GACGAACGCUGGCGGCGUGCUUAACACAUGCAAGUCGAACGGAAAGGCCCCCUUGUGGGGUACUCGAGUGGCGAACGGGUGAGUAACACGUGAGUAACCUACCCUUGACUUUGGGAUAACUUCAGGAAACUGGGGCUAAUACCGGAUAGGAGCUCCUGCUGCAUGGUGGGGGUUGGAAAGUUUCGGCGGUUGGGGAUGGACUCGCAGCUUAUCAGCUUGUUGGUGGGGUAGUGGCUCACCAAGGCUUUGACGGGUAGCCGGCCUGAGAGGGUGACCAGCCACAUUGGGACUGAGAUACGGCCCAGACUCCUACGGGAGGCAGCAGUGGGGAAUAUUGCACAAUGGGCGGAAGCCUGAUGCAGCAACGCCGCGUGCGGGAUGACGGCCUUCGGGUUGUAAACCGCUUUCGCCUGUGACGAAGCGUGAGUGACGGUAAUGGGUAAAGAAGCACCGGCUAACUACGUG
rnacentral:rRNA from 1 species